UACAGAGGUCUCAAGCGUUGUUCGGAUUCAUUGGGCGUAAAGCGCGUGUAGGCGGCCCGGUAAGUCCGCUGUGAAAGUCGGGGGGCUCAACCCUCGGAUGCCGGUGGAUACUGUCGGGCUUGAGUACGGAAGAGGCGAGUGGAAUUCCUGGUGUAGCGGUGAAAUGCGCAGAUAUCAGGAGGAACACCUAUUGCGAAGGCAGCUCGCUGGGACGUGACUGACGCUGAGACGCGAAAGCGUGGGGGAGCGAACAGG
rnacentral:rRNA from 1 species